ACUACAGUGCACUGUAGCAGUUCUAUUCUCUAUUCACUUCUCCAAACUGUUGGUUUAAGAGCUGUUGUUUUUACAUUUUAGGAUCUUUUAAAUGAAUUUCCUCCAGACAUCUUGGAUUAUGGGAACUUACCGGUUCCAGUGCCCCAGUGCAGGUCUGUUCCAGUGCAGUAUAACAGGCCUGGUGUUCAGGAUGGAGGGAGAAGGAGAGGUGCUCUAUAGGACAGUCCACUGGGACAGGAGGCUUCUAUCCCAGAGAGGCAAGAGGCCUGCAGGACCUCUGUUCAUGUUUAGAUGCCUUAAGGGGUCUGUCAGUCAACUACACCUCCCACACUGUCAGAUGCAUUCUGGUGGUGGAUGUGACUUCCUGUCUGUAGCCCAUGUGACUGAUGACUGAGUUUAUCCCUCCUCGUGAGACAACAGACACACAUGUCACAAUAUACAUCACUGGAUUCUGUCUCGGUGCGGGAGGUGAUUGAAAGGGAUGGAAUUAGAGAAAUUCUAACAACUUCUCAGUGUAAACUGACCCUGAAAAAAGAAUACACCCUCUCCACUUAUUCUGCAGAUGGACAUCAAAUACAACCAAACGCAAAUCUGGGCUAUUUUUGAAGAACAAUUUUUUAUAUUCCGAUGUAACUUUUCAUUUCAUUCUCACUGACUACAAAGGUCUCUUGAUUUCAGGAAGCAGUGUUUGUGAAAUGUGAUUCCUAUGAAAACAACUACUUUCAGUUGUUCUUAUAAACUACAGUUAAAGAAGUUGAUCUGCUUCUGAAAGAAAAGGAAGGUGAUGAACUUGUAUGGAACAGACUUGUCUGGCUGCCAGGUAACAGACAUUCAGAGAUCAAAUCAAAUGAGGUCAGACCAGGAGCAGCAGAACUAGUACAUGUUGUAGUUCUCUGAUAGUAUUAUUGUUACGUGUUGUAGUUCUCUGAUAGUAGUACUGUUACAUGUUGUAGUUCUCUGAUAGUAGUACUGUUACAUGUUGUAGUUCUCUGAUAGUAGUACUGUUACAUGUUGUAGUACUGUUACAUGUUGUAGUUCUGUUACAUGUUGUAGUUCUCUGAUAGUAGUACUGUUACAUGUUGUAGUUCUCUGAUAGUAGUACUGUUACAUGUUGUAGUACUGUUACAUGUUGUAGUUCUCUGGUAGUAGUACUGUUACAUGUUGUAGUUCUCUGAUAGUAGUACUGUUACAUGUUGUAGUACUGUUACAUGUUGUAGUACUGUUACAUGUUGUAGUACUGUUACAUGUUGUAGUUCUCUGAUAGUAGUACUGUUACAUGUUGUAGUUCUCUGAUAGUAGUACUGUUACAUGUUGUAGUUCUCUGAUAGUAGUACUGUUACAUGUUGUAGUUCUCUGAUAGUAUUACUGUUACAUGUUGUAGUUCUCUGAUAGUAUUACUGUUACAUGUUGUAGUUCUCUGAUAGUAGUACUGUUACAUGUUGUAGUUCUCUGAUAGUAUUACUGUUACAUGUUGUAGUUCUCUGAUAAUAGUACUGUUACAUGUUGUAGUUCUCUGAUAGUAGUACUGUUACAUGUUGUAGUACUGUUACAUGUUGUAGUACUGUUACAUGUUGUAGUACUGUUACAUGUUGUAGUUCUCUGAUAGCAUUAUUGUUAUUGAACUAUGAUUGCAGCCAUAACAAGUUAACUUGUUUGCAGUGUGGACAAGUUACAAUGCCUUUUCUUGACUUGUCAUGCAUGUUGGGACCAGGGGAUUUCAUUGUUGUAUAUACUAUGUGUAGGCUGUGUAGACUCGCUAUGUGCAACUUAGGGGACGGCUGUCGGCAUCAACAAUACACAUUUAAAGCCAAACACAACAAGGCAUACAUUGAAAAAACACAGAAAAUCAACGAUCAAAUGGAUUACAUAACUGUACAUGUAAACCUAGGCGUACUGCUCAAAUCUGUCCAAAUAAGAUUCCCUCAUUGUGAGCAAUUAGCUAGCUCACGUGCAAAUGGGUGCUAAUUAAUGCUAUGCUAACAUUGGUGCGGUAGUUGGUCAUAUAAAAAUAUACCACUGCACUGGUAUUACAUGAAUAUUACAAAGUACAUAUGAAGAAUACAUACAAAUAUAUGUUAUUAAUUCAUAAUAAAGUAACAAGUGAUAACUUCUAGGCUA